GACGAACGCUGGCGGCGUGCUUAACACAUGCAAGUCGAACGGAAAGGCCCUGCUUUUGUGGGGUGCUCGAGUGGCGAACGGGUGAGUAACACGUGAGUAACCUGCCCUUGACUUUGGGAUAACUUCAGGAAACUGGGGCUAAUACCGGAUAGGAGCUCCUGCUGCAUGGUGGGGGUUGGAAAGUUUCGGCGGUUGGGGAUGGACUCGCGGCUUAUCAGCUUGUUGGUGGGGUAGUGGCUUACCAAGGCUUUGACGGGUAGCCGGCCUGAGAGGGUGACCGGCCACAUUGGGACUGGGAUACGGCCCAGACUCCUACGGGAGGCAGCAGUGGGGAAUAUUGCACAAUGGGCGGAAGCCUGAUGCAGCAACGCCGCGUGCGGGGUGACGGCCUUCGGGUUGUAAACCGCUUUCGCCUGUGACGAAGCGUGAGUGACGGUAAUGGGUAAAGAAGCACCGGCUAACUACGUG
rnacentral:rRNA from 1 species